rnacentral:rRNA from 1 species
UAGGGAAUCUUCGGCAAUGGACGAAAGUCUGACCGAGCAACGCCGCGUGAGUGAAGAAGGUUUUCGGAUCGUAAAACUCUGUUGGUAGAGAAGAACGUUGGUGAGAGUGGAAAGCUCAUCAAGUGACGGUAACUACCCAGAAAGGGACGGCUAACUACGUGCCAGCAGCCGCGGUAAUACGUAGGUCCCGAGCGUUGUCCGGAUUUAUUGGGCGUAAAGCGAGCGCAGGUGGUUUAUUAAGUCUGGUGUAAAAGGCAGUGGCUCAACCAUUGUAUGCAUUGGAAACUGGUAGACUUGAGUGCAGGAGAGGAGAGUGGAAUUCCAUGUGUAGCGGUGAAAUGCGUAGAUAUAUGGAGGAACACCGGUGGCGAAAGCGGCUCUCUGGCCUGUAACUGACACUGAGGCUCGAAAGCGUGGGGAGCAAACAGGAUUAGAUACCCUGGUAGUCCACGCCGUAAACGAUGAGUGCUAGAUGUAGGGAGCUAUAAGUUCUCUGUAU